rnacentral:misc_RNA from 1 species
AAAAGAGUAAAGAGCAAUGCCCACUCCUUCGAUUGUACGAAUUUUAAUCUAGAAUAUUGAAUUUAAGUCGAUUCCCUGAAGAUGAAUCCAUAUUUAGAACCUUCUGUAUUAUUUGCAAUUGUAAUGGCCGUGUUAGUGAUAAAUGCAUGCUCCCCAUUCCUUACAGUUGUAUCUACUGUGCUGUUUUCUAUACUAAACGUAAUCAUAUUUUUACUAUUCGACUACAUUUCGUCAACGUAUGGUGAGUUAGCUCCUCUGAAGUUAUUUCUGGAGAUCUCAAAUCGAUACUUUCUGCUAUACAAAAGGAAUUUCGGUGGCUGUAAUUUCGUCCACCUCAUGCUGCUUUUUAUACAAGUUAACGUCUUCGCAUUCGUUCUAUACUGGUCAUCGAAUAUUAUUGAAGAUUUAACACUUCCAAAAGCAUAAAUUGAAUGUAAAUGGAACCUUUUUCUUUUGGCAGAAGUACUAAAGAAUGUCGACAACCUAACGAUUUGAGUAAUUUUUAAUAGUAAAACUAAAUGAAAUUUUUUAGUGUGUUUUAAUGGAUUUUUAAGCUUUCCAAUCUUACAAAUUUAUAAAGAUGUUUUUACCUGUAAAGAUGC